GUAGGGAAUCUUCCGCAAUGGACGAAAGUCUGACGGAGCAACGCCGCGUGAGCGAAGAAGGUCUUCGGAUCGUAAAGCUCUGUUGUCAGGGAAGAACAAGUGCCGUUCGAACAGGGCGGUACCUUGACGGUACCUGACGAGGAAGCCACGGCUAACUACGUGCCAGCAGCCGCGGUAAUACGUAGGUGGCAAGCGUUGUCCGGAAUUAUUGGGCGUAAAGCGCGCGCAGGCGGUUCCUUAAGUCUGAUGUGAAAUCUCGCGGCUCAACCGCGGGCGGCCAUUGGAAACUGGGGAACUUGAGUGCAGGAGAGGGGAGCGGAAUUCCACGUGUAGCGGUGAAAUGCGUAGAGAUGUGGAGGAACACCAGUGGCGAAGGCGGCUCUCUGGCCUGUAACUGACGCUGAGGCGCGAAAGCGUGGGGAGCGAACAGGAUUAGAAACCCCGGUAGUCC
rnacentral:rRNA from 1 species